rnacentral:rRNA from 1 species
UGGGGAAUUUUGGACAAUGGGCGAAAGCCUGAUCCAGCAAUGCCGCGUGUGUGAAGAAGGCCUUCGGGUUGUAAAGCACUUUUGUCCGGAAAGAAAUCCUUGGCUCUAAUACAGUCGGGGGAUGACGGUACCGGAAGAAUAAGCACCGGCUAACUACGUGCCAGCAGCCGCGGUAAUACGUAGGGUGCAAGCGUUAAUCGGAAUUACUGGGCGUAAAGCGUGCGCAGGCGGUUUGCUAAGACCGAUGUGAAAUCCCCGGGCUCAACCUGGGAACUGCAUUGGUGACUGGCAGGCUAGAGUAUGGCAGAGGGGGGUAGAAUUCCACGUGUAGCAGUGAAAUGCGUAGAGAUGUGGAGGAAUACCGAUGGCGAAGGCAGCCCCCUGGGCCAAUACUGACGCUCAUGCACGAAAGCGUGGGGAGCAAACAGGAUUAGAUACCCUGGUAGUCCACGCCCUAAAACGAUGUCAACUAGUUGUUGGGGAUUCAUUUCCUUAGUAACGUAGCUAACGCGUGAAGUUGACCGCCUGGGGAGUACGGUCGCAAGAUUAAAA